GGAGGUGUGAGCUGUGGGAGAGAGCUGACUAAGAAGAAGAAACUCCCCAGAAAGGUGGCCUGCCAGUCUUCACGAUGUAUGGGAGCAGGUGGGAAAAGAGCUGCAAGUGUUUGCAUUUCAUCAUUGAAAUUGUUGAAACUGCUGAUCAGGAAACACAGAAUGAGUUUAACCAGCGAUGCCAACUUCUGCAAGAUGGACUCCAGCUUGGGAGCUCUGUAUGGAAUAAAUAAGAUAUCCCAGACAUCAAAGCACUCAAUAAGGCACUGUAGAAAUGGCAACAAGGUAAAAGCCCACAAUGAUGGUGGUGGUGAGAAAGCAGGGCACCACAGAACGUGGCUUGGUUCUAGAGUGGUCUGUGCAGGGUUACAUUGAAGCUUCUGUCUUGGCUUGUCCUCUCCUCCUUGGUGUGCAUCCUCCUGGCCCUGUAGUCCUGGCAUCUUACCUUCUGCCUCCUCCUGCCAGUGACAUAGCUGUCUUGAAGCUGCUGCCUGCCAGCUCUUCCUCUGGCUAACCUCUGCUCCUUCUCUAGCUCCUCCUGGGGAGCAAGGAAGCAGGCAGUUUUGGGGGCAGAGGGCAGCCCAAUGGUCUGAAAUCAGGACUGAAAAGCACAUGUGUCCAGCUUGCCAGCCAGAAUGACAAACCUCUUUUUGUGCAGUUUCUUCUGUUCUGGACACUUUCUCCCACCGUCUCUCUCUUCUCUUUUUUACUCACGUGCUGCCCCACCCCCAGCAGCACAGCCACCCAUACAACAUACCCCCAGUUUCUGAGCAGAGGACAUGAAAUUAAUCUCCAGGGUAGGAAAAGGAAGUGUAUCAUUAGAACAGGUAUGAUUUAGGAAAGGGAAAACGUCAUUGGAAAGAAGCACAACCUUGAGCUAUCUGCCUAUUUUACAGACAUGAAGACCAAAGUUUUUAGAAUGAAGGACAGUAAUUUUCAUUGCAAAAUAUAAUGUGCCAUAAUAUGCUGAUGUCAGAGACUUCAUUUAUUCAAAGCACCACUAUCAAAAAAACCAGGUUUCUCAACCUUAGCAUGUUGACAUUUUGGGCUGAAUAUUUCUUUGCUGCGUGUUGGAGGGUUGGGGUGGCCGUUCUGUGCAUCGUAGGAUGUUCAGCAGCAUCCCUGGUCCCCAACCCCUAGAUGCCAGGAACCCCCGAGUUGUGACAAUCGAGAAUGUCUCUAGACAUUGCCAAAUGCCCCUGGGGAAUGACAUCAUCUCCAGUUGAAGGACCACUAAUCUAAAGUGAGAAGUUUCUGUGCUCAGUUCUGUAGCUGUCCCAUCUCUAGUAAUUUAUCAUGUUCUUCCAAGUUCCUUCCACCCCCCCAAAAAUACAGGUUUUAUGCCCUUAAAGGCCAUUAGAUAACUGUCUGGUUUCUGGAAGAGGUAAGAGGCUUGUGUCGCAGGUGUUACUGAGCCCAGUUGGGGCAGAGGGGAGCCUUGGCCCAGUGCUCUGGGUGCUGUCGCCUCCUUGGGCAGGGGGCCCCUCAUCACCAGCUGCUGUGCACUCCUCUGCCAUCUCCUAUGCAAACAUGGUGCAUCCUCCCUUCUUCCCUCCCUUUCCUCCUCUCCCAUGUCCUUGUUCUGCUGCUGCUCAGUUUCAUUUGACAGUCCUGUCUUGUGCAUCUUGGCACACUUUGGUCAAAUCUUCUCGGGUUUUCUUUUGUGGUUUUGUUUAAGAACUCAAGGUGUAAAUGCAGUGUGGUUCCAGCUGUAAUUUCUCACACGCACUCACCCUAAAAACAAGGAGUCAGAGCUGUGGGAUGCAAGAGCCAUCCUGGAAUAGGGGUUUAAGUGAGGGAAGGAGGCCCCUUCAUCUUCCUCCCUUGUUCUGAAACUCUUCAUGGGGUGAUGGCAUGAGCCUUGGGUGACUGCAGCCUCCCCUCCUGCUCAAGGCUUCCCUCUGUAGAUUCAGCACUUUCUUGGUGUGGGUUCAAGCCCUUUGGAGUCCGAGCUGGGAACACAGGGGUUUAGGAAACAGAGGAGAAAGGAACUUGCCUGUUAGUUGAGUUAAUUGCUAUUUUAGCAUCUCAAGGCGUUUCCUCAAACAGCCUUGCAGAGUCCAUUUGUGACAGGGUUGUGGUGUGAAGUGGAAAGGACAGCAGAGCAGAGUCAGGGGACUGUGACCCUGGAUGAACUACUUAUUAUGGUUUCCUGAACCUCACUCACAGCACCUGCCUCAGUACAAUGCAAGCCCUGAGAAAUGCUUGCAAUACACAUGGCUUGAAAGAGAUUAUGAUUCAGUUUGGUUCAUAGAAACCUUUCAUUUCAGAAGUAGUAUGACCAGAGGAAGAAGCUAGGAGGGUGAGGGCUGAUUCUGUGAAAAACCUUUGGGGGAAAGGCCUUUCCUCACCAGGCCGGCCAGAGGAGCCAGGUCUGGGAGGCUGGCCGCAGCGGGGACUGUGGGACAGCAGUCAGUGUGCCUGAAACCUUGGGCUGAGCGAGGACGCCUCAAGAAGGGGAGAUAGGGGUGUUCAGGAAGAGCCCAGAUGGGAUUCAGAGGCUCUUGCUUCCUUGGUGAGGGAGACAUUUGCUGGCACAAAGCCCUGAUGAGGAAGAAGGUCACUAAGCCUGUGCUCCGGGUGGUACCCUGGGGCCAGCGAGGAGGCACUUGCCGAAACCACACACUUCCUUACAUUCCAUAGCAAAGUAAUCCAUAUGGGGAUAUAAAGAAGCAUGUGGCCUCGGGAAGCAGUGUCAUCCAGAAGCAGCCCGCAUCUCAGAAGUAGGCCACUUGUAGCAUCUUUCCUCCUUGCCCAGGCAGGAAACGCUUAGCGAGAAGAUCACUGGGAUCUCAACUCAUCCUAAAUCCCCCCCGACCAAAUCAUCCUGAAAUAAAUCUGUUGUGAGGAAUGGCAGUGCUGCUUGGGACCAAAUCCUUCCUACUGUUUGUUCACAGGUAAACAGCACCACGUUUCCCUGGCUUAUUCUUGUGCAGCUACAGUCUAUCGAGUCCUUUGUUAUUACUACUAAUUAAUUCACUGCUGCUGUUUUUGUGCAUUUUGAAUGUGAUUCUUUUUUAAUGUUUGGGAUCCAGUGAAGGGAAAAUUAAAAAGAAGAGAGAAUCCAACAGAGAAAUUUUCCACAUUCACGCAGAGAGCCACUCAUGCUUAGAAACACACCGGCCCUCCUGUACUUCCUACUGUACGUCUAUCUGUUUUGGGUGCUUGUUGAUGGGCAGCAGCUGCCCAUCCAGCAUUCCAAGCACCAUUGUUCACUGUGGGAAGGAUCCUUUUGUCGAGCUUCUGCUCCCCCUAGCCCAUCACCUGCCCCACAAUCUGUGAGGCCUGAGCCUCAGAAGGAUGAGGGACAUUGGCAGCUGUUGAGCCACUCAGGGUCUGGACGGCCACCCUGGCUGGAGGGAGAUGGGAUUUUGAACUUUGUGGUAUCUGAUUCUCUGCCAGAAAAUGGGGAAACAUAUGCCAAAGGAAGAGUUGGCCCCCAAAAAAGGUUUGAGGCUCACAGCACUGGCUGGGGUGGUUAAAAACAUUUAAUCACAGUAAUAAAAAAUAAGAGGUAACUUUUUAUAAGUAUGCUUUCUAUAACAGAAUCAUUACAGUGUUUUGCGUAUGUGAGCUCCUUGACUCCUACCUACUCUAUGAAAUGUAGCCAUUUUAUCUGAUUUUACAGAUGAGGAAAAUGAGGAUCGUAGAAAUGUAUUAAUUAUCAUAUUUAUAAAUGGUAAUUCUUUUAAAAAAACUAAUCAGAUUGGAGGCACAGUUUUGGAUCAACCCAUGGAGAGAGGCUUAGAAGGUAAAAAAAAUGUUGAGAAGGAAGAAAAGGAAACACUAUAGGUUUUUGAUUUGGUGUACCUUUAUCCUUUCUGUAACUCUGCGCUUGGGGUGUUGUUGAUGGAGGUGGCUUAGAAAGCAUACUGUUUCUUAGGAAAAUAGGAAAAUGUCUCUGGCAUCCCAGUCAAAAUCUUUCGGGCUGCCCUUGGGAAUCAUCCAAUGGCUCAUCCAAUUCCAUCCAGUGGCUAUGUAAGCUUCUGCUCUGAAAACACUGUUUUCUCCCAUAGUCAAGUAUGAACUUCAUAGAAGUGAGAGUGUGGGGCUACCCUUCCUUCUCUAAGUUUGGGGGCAGUGGGCAACCAAAAACACACUAUCAGGGGCUGAUGUCAGGGAGGCAGCUUGGUCAAAGGAGGAAGGAGGUGUGUCUGUGCCUCUAAGAAAAUAAAAAUGUCUCAUUUCUUUCAUAGAACCAGGGAACUUAAGAGCUGAAUAAAUGUCCAUUUUAACUAGUUACAUCUGUCAGAUGGAGAUCCUCCAAAGUGUUUGGCAUUUGAGUUGUGAGGAGUGAGGGUUUGCACCGAUGAGAGGAACCAUCGAGUUUUAUGUUCAAAGAACUAGAAAGAGCCAGCUUUAAGAGACUUGCUAUUCAUGAGCCAGGCUGAGCUUCAUACAUUUAUGUAGGAAUACAAAAGAAAAA